AUGUUAUGCAGAUUGAAGAUGCUCGAAUGCAAAAGGGAUGAAAUCAAGGACAUUGGGUUCAUUGACCCGGACACAAUGCAUGUCAAGACCAUAGAAGAACCCCUCUAUAACAGGGAUACACCGGAGACUUUGCUAAGGUUUUUGAAGCGACAACGUGACAAAAAGACAAUACUUUGGCCUUACAACUUCCAGUUUCACUUUAUUCUUAUCGUCAUUAAAAUGUACGAAGGAGAAGUUGAAGUCUUUGACUCACUAACCAAAGAGCCUAUACAAUACAAGUCUUGUUUUCUUAUGCUCAAAAGCGUAUGGGAAACUUUCAUCAAGGAAGAUCAGUCCCAUGAUUGGAAACCGAAGCUGAUAUGGCGUGCGAACAAA